rnacentral:rRNA from 1 species
GAUGAACGCUGGCGGCGUGCUUAACACAUGCAAGUCGAACGAAGCGCUUUGGACAGAUUCUUCGGAUGAAGUCCUUAGUGACUGAGUGGCGGACGGGUGAGUAACGCGUGGGUAACCUGCCUCAUACAGGGGGAUAACAGUUAGAAAUGGCUGCUAAUACCGCAUAAGCGCACAGUACUGCAUGGUACAGUGUGAAAAACUCCGGUGGUAUGAGAUGGACCCGCGUUGGAUUAGCUAGUUGGCAGGGUAACGGCCUACCAAGGCGACGAUCCAUAGCCGGCCUGAGAGGGUAGACGGCCACAUUGGGACUGAGACACGGCCCAGACUCCUACGGGAGGCAGCAGUGGGGAAUAUUGCACAAUGGGGGAAACCCUGAUGCAGCGACGCCGCGUGAGCGAAGAAGUAUUUCGGUAUGUAAAGCUCUAUCAGCAGGGAAGAAAAUGACGGUACCUGACUAAGAAGCCCCGGCUAACUACGUGCCAGCAGCCGCGGUAAUACGUAGGGGGCAAGCGUUAUCCGGAUUUACUGGGUGUAAAGGGAGCGUAGACGGAAUGGCAAGUCUGAUGUGAAAGGCCGGGGCUCAACCCCGGGACUGCAUUGGAAACUGUCAAUCUAGAGUACCGGAGGGGUAAGUGGAAUUCCUAGUGUAGCGGUGAAAUGCGUAGAUAUUAGGAGGAACACCAGUGGCGAAGGCGGCUUACUGGACGGUAACUGACGUUGAGGCUCGAAAGCGUGGGGAGCAAACAGA